rnacentral:rRNA from 1 species
UACGGAGGGGGGCGAGCGUUGUCCGAAGUUACUGGGCGUAAAGCGCGCGUAGGCGGGUUGGUAAGUCCGCUGUGAAAGCCCGGAGCUCAACUCCGGAGGGUCGGUGGAUACUGCCAGUCUUGAAGGUGCUAGGGGGAGAUGGAAUUACCGGUGUAGCGGUGAAAUGCGUAGAUAUCGGUAGGAACACCAGUGGCGAAGGCGGUCUCCUGGGGCAUUCUUGACGCUGAGGUGCGAAAGCGUGGGGAGCAAACAGG